UGGGGAAUAUUGGACAAUGGGCGCAAGCCUGAUCCAGCCAUGCCGCGUGAGUGAUGAAGGCCCUAGGGUUGUAAAGCUCUUUCGGCGGGGACGGUCAUGACGGUACCCGCAGAAGAAGCCCCGGCUAACUUCGUGCCAGCAGCCGCGGUAAUACGAAGGGGGCUAGCGUUGUUCGGAAUCACUGGGCGUAAAGCGCACGUAGGCGGAUUAUUAAGUCGGGGGUGAAAUCCCGAGGCUCAACCUCGGAACUGCCUUCGAUACUGGUAAUCUUCGAGUCCGGGAGAGGUGAGUGGAACUCCGAGUGUAGAGGUGAAAUUCGUAGAUAUUCGGAAGAACACCAGUGGCGAAGGCGGCUCACUGGCCCGGUACUGACGCUGAGGUGCGAAAGCGUGGGGAGCAAAC
rnacentral:rRNA from 1 species